rnacentral:rRNA from 1 species
UGAGAGUGGGUAGUCCGCACGAGCGCACCCUUACUUUUAGUUGCCAUCAUUUAGUGGGGCACUCUGUAAAGAACUGCCAGUGAUAAGCUGGAGGAAGGUGGGGAUGACGUCAAGUCCUCAUGGCCCUUAUGUGUUGGGCUACACACGUGCUACAAUGGCAUUUACAAUAGGAUGCAAGAUGGCGACAUUAAGCAAAUCCUAAAAAAAUGCCCUAGUUCGGAUUGUACUCUGCAACUCGAGUACAUGAAGCUGGAAUUACUAGUAAUCGUGGAUCAGCGUGCCACGGUGAAUACGUUCCCGGGUCUUGUACACACCGCCCGUCACACCAUGGGAGUUGGUUCUACCUUAAGGCAAGGUUUAAUACCCUUGACCACGGUAUAGUCAGCGACUGGGGUGAAGUCGUAACAAGGUAGCCGUAGGGGAACCUGCGGCUGGAUUACCUCCUUUCU